rnacentral:rRNA from 1 species
UACGGAGGAUGCGAGCGUUAUCCGGAUUUAUUGGGUUUAAAGGGUGCGUAGGCGGGCUUUUAAGUCAGCGGUAAAAAUUCGGGGCUCAACCCCGUCCGGCCGUUGAAACUGGGGGUCUUGAGUGGGCGAGAAGAAGGCGGAAUGCGUGGUGUAGCGGUGAAAUGCAUAGAUAUCACGCAGAACCCCGAUUGCGAAGGCAGCCUUCCGGCGCCCUACUGACGCUGAGGCACGAAAGCGCGGGGAUCGAACAGG